UUACCAUUAGCGUCGACAGCUUAGUGGCGAUUUUCGAAUGCACAAUAAAUAACGUUAUAAAUAUGAGCUUUUCUGGGAUAAUAUUUGAUAGUUUUGAAAUUUUAAUAUUGUCAUUUGUGAAGUUUAGUUCAAAAUGGUUUGCCAAACAAGUAUUGAAUCUUAAAGAAUUAUAAAUAUGGAUAAAGUCAACGUAAAAUCGCGGAAAGCGUGAAACUGAAUCAAGGAACUGUUCAGUAUAUCAUUGAACGUUAUGUCCGUGAAAAUCGUGUCGCAAAUAAAAAGAAAUCGGCUCAUAAUAAAAUAUUUAAUGAAAGUGAUUCUCGUUGGAUUGUACGGAAAAUACGGGAAGAUCCCCAUUUAAGUGCUCCAGUUUAAUGCAGCGAAGUGGAAAAAUAUUUGGGGAAAAAAAGUCAUAAGAAGAGUGCUCAGAGAAGCUGAUUUCAAUAAAUAAGCCAUCCAUCAAUGCUAAAAAUCGAAGUGCUAUAUUGAGUUUCAAAAGAACAUAUGUAUAUAAUAUUAGAGUGAAAGCUUCUGAGAUACCGUAAUUUUUGCAGAUGAAAGUAAAUUCAACCUAUUUAGAUAGGAUGGAAAGAGUUAUGCAUGGAGAAAAGCAAAAGGAGAGCUACAACCGCACAAUCUACGUAGCACCGUAAAACAUGUAAAAAAUUGAAAAUUUAUUCAGAUUUUUAUCAAGAUUUUGGUAUUAUGUGACAAGUUUGAUAAAAUAAAAAGCUUCAGUACGCAUAGAUUUUCCCCGCACGUAUGGGAAACAAAAUAAUGUAAACAGAAACAGCUGAUUUCUGAUCAAAUUAUAUUCGAAUUGCAUUGAAAAAUUUUAUUAAAUACUAAAUAACAUAAGUUUUCAAAUAGUUAAUAAUUUAGCUUUAAUCCUUUGCUCCUGUUCUAGACGUAGGUUUUCUGAAAGUGCGCAAAUAUUCCAUGCUCCGAAUCUGGCCUUAUUUUUCAUGAUAAAAAUCGUUGAGUGUUUGUUUUCACCGAGCCUUUUUUUAUUGUGUCUUCGUAGAUAAGUUUGGUUUAAGAUUGAUCGGUUAUCAGUUUAUCUAACCAAUUCUUAUUAUCUACCCGCCUUUACUCGUUCGCCAGAGCCUCGUUUGCUAACCACACAGAAGGUGCCGGCCAUAGAUGAGGUUGAUAAUCGGAUGGCAGAGGCUAUGUAUUCGCUUUUCGAUCUCACAUCCCCUGGAGUCUUUUGCUCCACCGCGGAGCCAUAGUGUAUAUAAUAUAAUACUUAUACAUAAGACCUACCUAUACAUAAUCCUUGAGUCUUUAGAUUUCAAAAUAAUUGGAAUGCAAUUUUAUUUUAGUUGGUUGUUAUGCUUAGCUUCAGAAAAGUUCCUUGGGAACUUGCCAAAAUUUGCUAAAUUGUAAUAGUAUGCAAUAUAUGGAAAACUAUUUCGACAAAGUUACCUUCAUUUAUUUUAUACAAAAAAGGAAAAAGAAAUAUCUUAAUAUAAAAUCUUCUGAAUAACGCGGACCAUCACCGUGUUCACAAUUUUAACAACAAUUAACAACAAAAGUAAAAUAUCCAUUGCAAAAAAUCACACAUCCAGAUAUUUUAUUUGUAAAGAACACUGUUAAGAGCAUUUCUUAACAAUUUAUCAAGAAAAGAGCUUUUUAUUUUAGAUACAGAUUUUGUGGUAUUUCACUAAACACAGCUAAAAAUAGCUAAGAAACCUAGGAAAGAGCUUAUAUACAAAAGCUUUGCAAAAUAUUUUGCCAAAAAAUAAGAAAAUAAGACAUUUUUCACAAUUUUUUUUUGAAAAACGCCAGGGACAUGUAUCGCGUAUUUCUAUGGUCGUACGUGACUGGCUUUUAAGAUAAAUUUAAAUUACCUCUGUUUGUUAUGGCGAAAAUACAUAUUGUUGCCUUUUUUUUAUAAAUUUAAAAAUUACUUUCUCAUUACAUAUAUGUAAAUAUUUAUUGUUUCCAUUUUUUUCUGAUGUCUAUGAAAAAAUCUGGUAUUUGAGUUUACUACAAUUCAAUGUGUGUCAUAGUACGUAGUAAACACAAUACCAUAAUACUUUUAUCAUGGUAUUUUACCACAUAUGUGUUUCGAGUAUAUUUACAUAUAUUUUUGGAAAAUUUAUUUAGUUUUCAGGUAACACUUGCUUUAAUAUUUCUUAUACGGUUGCAUCACUUCGGCUGUGAGCCACUGUAUGUACAUAAAUAUAAUGUAUCAAUGCAUUAAAGCCUUAAUAGCGUCGUCACAUAAGCCCAUUAUAUUUCCAACGUUGUUCCAACCCUGAGUUCUUAUGGUAGUAUACAUAUUAUAUAAAGAGAAGCAUUGUAAUUUAGUUUAUGGAUAAAAAAAUGAACAUUUUUGACGACUUAUAAACAUAAAACCACAAAAAUUUUUGCUUGUUGCACUGGUUACAAUUCCAUAUUUAUAAAUCGUAUUCAGUAUACAUACAUACAUGCAUACAUAUGUGCAGAUCAAAAGUAAAAAGUCAAACAUAUGCAAAUCUAUUCAGACCACGACAUUUAAAACAGUGGUCGGCACGAGAGGAAUUGUGACUGUAUAGGUGAGCAUGAAGUAAUGAAUACCCAGUGAGAACUCUGUAGCCUAACAUUUUAAGAAUGUUUUUAAUUUUUUCAUAAAACAUGAAUUUUUGUGAUCAUUUAUUCAUUUUGGUUAUUUUAUUAUUUAAACAAAUAUAUUAGAACACAAAAGCAUUAACUUUUCUGUCUUUAAAUAGCUUAAAACCAUAAAUAUAAUACAUAACAUAAAACGACAUUCAUCAAAGUAGGCAUUUCGCGCAGGGCACUUAUGCAAAGUGCCAUAGCUAUGCGCGAUGUUUACUCGUUGCUGGUUCGACAACGACUGAAUGAUAGAGCGUAAGCGUACGUGUGACUUGAGUCGGCACAAUUGUGGUAUGGAGUGCCGACCACUGAUUUAAAACAACACAAAUGAUGUAUGUACAUUAGGGUGGCCCUUAUUUUCCAAAGUAUUCCGAUUCUUGAUCGCACCCCCUAGAAAUAUGCGAAUAGCCCAAAAACUAGUAUAUACAAAGUUUUGGGUCAAUCAAAAAAGGUUUAGAGGUUGCGCAAGGAGCUUGAAAUCCUGAAAAAUUAAGAAUUUUUGCCAUUUUUAUGUCUCCAUAUUUCAAAGCCACACUAUCUGGUUUCCAUACCGUAAUAAGAUCUGCAUUUUAUUAUCUUUCCAAAAUUACCACAACCUUAAAAUCGGUCGAUUGAUGAUAGAGUUACAGAAAUACAAAUAUGAAAGUAAAUUUAAUGUGGUGCAUUCUCAAGCGUCGCAUGCUCGUGAUAUACCGUUAUAACGGUUCUAAUGUUAUUCUUAUUAUCUUAUUACGGUAUGGAAAACCAGUAAGGGAUAGUGUGACUUUGCAAUAUGCAAGUCUGAGACAUAAAAAUGGCAAAAAUUCUUAUUUUUUCAGGAUUUCAAGCUCCUUGCGCAACCUCUAAACCUUUUUUGAUUGACCCAAAACUUUGUAUAUACUAGUUUUUGGGCUAUUCGCAUAUUUCUAGGGGGUGAGAUCGAGAAUCCUAAAACUUUUUUUAUCCUCCAUACAACUAAGGGUCACCCUAAUGUACAUAUGUAGAUUUAUGCUCUUAUUGCUCCAUUUUUAGUGAACUAAUCAAAAUCAGAAGUCUCGCUAAGUUUCAUUUCGUUAUAUUGAAUUGGCUAUAUCAGAUCAGAAUUUAUGUAUAUAUGUAUUCUCUAGAUAUGCCUUUCGAUUUAUAAUUUUUAUUUUAUAAAAUUUGUUCAUGAUUCAAUUAUAAAAGGUUUGGUAAGUAAACAGAGUGUAUUCAACUAAGUGAAGUAAGUAUAUGACAUUUCAGUUUUCUUUACCCGAAUUUGACAUGUGUGUUGCCAUUGAUUUAACCCUCACAUUGAUUCAAAAAUUCAAAUUUUGAAAUUCAAAAGUAAACAAACCAAAGAAAAUAUUUUUUAAAUGAAUAAAAGAAAAUGACGAAUACUUUCUGCUUGUGCAAAACAACUCAUGUAAGCAAUUUACUAAUGUUUUGUGCUUCAACUGACAAAUUGCAAAAAAUUUUAUCAAUGUGUAUUAUAUUGUUCAAGAUAAAAAAGAUGGGUUAAUGUAAACAAAUACAUGAAUUGUUUACUAUUUUAUUGUCAAACAAGGGUAUGUCAAAUACUUAGUUCACUUUGUUGAAUAUACUCACGCAACCAAGUUGCUAAAGAGAGAAUUAUAGUUUUGUUCACAUAAAGGUUGUUUGUAACACCCAAAACUAAAUGAGUUAGAUAUAGGGUUAUAUAUACCAAAGUGACCAAGAUGAAGUGCUGAACACAAAGACGACGACACGACACGACGUAGCGACGGCUGACCACAAAUGUCGCUUCGAAGCCAGCGUCUUGAACAUUUUGAAGACGGCAGCGACAUAUCACACAGCAUUUUCAUUGUUGCCGUACUAACAUCUUUCACUUCAAUAAAAUUUACAUAUUUAGUUUAAAGUGAAAUUAUUUACGCAAAAAAAUUUUAAAAUGGUCGAUUUAUUUGUUUUAAAUAAUCGAUUGUUAUUAUAAAUGAUAUAUCAAAGUUAUUUUACGUUUCUGCAGACAAAAUAACGUCAUACUUGUUAGAACUUUGAAUAAUUUUACAUUUCACAUAUUAGUGGCAGCUUUACAGCGGCCAUUGUCGUCGGCAAAAUUAGAAACAUUUCUAAUUUGGCGACAGCGAAGACUUCAACCCUUUUGUCGUGAAGUCGUGCUGUUGUCAAAAAAUCUGUGCCCAUAUGAACGCGUGUAUUUUAAUAUUUGACAGAUGUCGCUCGUCGCUUGUCGUCUUCUAUGUGUUCAACACAUGAAAAGUGAAGUUCAAAUCCGGAUGUCAAGCUGUAACUUGAGUAAAAAUUGAGAUAUCUUGAUGAAACUUGGUGCACGUGUUUCUUGGCACCAUAGGAAGGUAGCUUUCGGACCACUGUCACGCCCACAAAAUGGCGAAAUCCGAAAACACGAAGUGCCAUAACUAAGCUAUAAAUAAUAAAAUAUAAAUAUAAAUAAAGCUAUUGAAGUAAAAUUUGGUAUGAAGGAUCGCACUAUGAAGGGGGAUGUAAUCUUUUUUGGGAAGUGGGCGUGGCCCCGCCACUUACUAAGUUUUUUGUACAUAUCUCGUAAACUACUCAAGCUAUAUCAACGAAAUUUUCAGGAGUCGUUUUUUACAGGCAUUUCCUUAUACAGUCCAAAAAUGGUGGAAAUCGGAUUAUAACCACGCCCACCUCCUAUACAAAGGUUAUGUUGAAAACUCCUAAAAAUGCUUUAAUUCAGUAAGGGAAAACACGAGGAACUUUAAAUUUCACUAUAAAGAACGUACAGAAGGGCUCCGCCCACUUAUGGGUCAAGAACCAUAUCUCCGAAACUACUCGACCAAUUUAAAUGAAUAUUGGUUUCACAACCACGCCUACUUCCUAUAUUCCAGAACUUUGAAGUCGACCUGAAUAGUUUACAAUGUAUAAAGUAAGCACUAGUGAACAUAUUGGAACAGAACUUUGCAUAAAUACUGCAUUUAUAGUGUGGCUGCCCCUUUCUAAAGAUCGCCGAAAUCGGACCAUAGGUUUUCAAGUCCCCAUAUAUCGAACAUGAGAACUUCGAUGCUUCUAACCUAAUAUUAGGGUUUCCAACUUUCAAUGGACUUUAUACCAUAUAUAUGACGAAUAUGUGGGUCAAAUAGUCUAUUAUAUAAUAUAAAUAAAUAAAUUGCGAGAGUAUAAACUUAGCCCUUCCUUACUUGUUAAUAUUAAAACCAUAGCUGCUUUGUUUAUUUACAUAAACGGUAACUGUGGAUAAGGUACAUGUAUGUUAAAUUCUAUUCUGGUUAACUAUUAGAUAAAGUGAAAUUAUUCAGGGAGCAACUAAUUAUUUAAAAAUAUAGACAAAAAUGGUAUAACAGUUGCUGUAUUUUGAAGUUAAUGUUGUCAACAUUGAACUCAAGCUGCCAAUGUAUCUUUUUGUACUUUAAUCUCAAUUAAUUGAUUUUUGUCGUGAACAAUAGGUCAUAAAUUGUCUGGUUUGUCUGGCAUUUGGAAAUAUAUAUAUUAGUAUUUGGUUGCAGUUCUAUUCCACCGCUCCCAAUAAUAAUAUUUGUGUUGAGGAAUCAAUUUGAAGUUGUAUCAUGCGUUAUUCUCAUUGUUAAAAGUACAUAAGGAUGUCAAAAUAAUAUGCAUAGAAUUUAUAUCAAAACGGUCAAAGAGUAAUGUAGAUUUCACUUCAAAUUAUCGCUGGAUGGACGGAUGGACAUUGCGACUAAAAUUUUAAAUAUAAACUAUUAUGUAUAUCUUUCAAGUUGGACCAAACUGCAGACUUGUGCAAAAUUUCCUUAAAAUCGGUUCAGUAGUUUAGACGCCAAUUCCGGACAAACAACGUGAUAUGAAAUUAUAAAUUAAAUAUAUAUAGAUGUAUAUAGUGAAAAUAAAAUUAAAUGUUUGUUUCAUGGAGAAAAAUUUUAAAUAUGACUAUUAAUAUUGACUGACCAUAUUUCCAUGCUAUUUAUUAAUUUUGGUUCGAGAAUAGUAAUAUAUUUUAUACUACUUAGAAUAUAUUUUUAACUGCGUUCACAAGAAAAGCGAAUACAUUUUUCGCUUUUUUCUUUCCUUCACAAAUACAACCAACAUUACAUACCAAACCUUUUAUAACUGAAUCAUUGAAUUUGUUGAUGUAAUUGACAUAUUUUUUAGAUAUGCAAUUCUAUUUUGGACUCUUCUGAAAUAUUUACAAUGUAAUAGAAUUUUUUUAUUCGUACAUAAGUAUAUGUACAGUGGAGUCUGGAUAUAGUGAACUAAUUUCUGCAAGGCCUGUUCGCAGUAUCGAGGUUGUUCACUAUAUUAAGGUUAACUUUUUUUUUUUAACUUUGUUUAUUAGCUUUAAAUUCAUGUUUGUUUAUGUAAACAAAACAGGUUAUAUGUAUAAAGUAAUUUUUUGAAAAAUACAUACAUAUUAUUGAAAGAAUUUACGAAUAGAUGUUUGCUUUUGGAUUUCGGAAAUUGACUUUUGGACCGCUUUUUCGCGUAGACUUUUCAGUACUAGUAUGCCAGCAUAGUCAGUGGUGUUAGCUUCAGCCCAUGCGAUAGCUAUAUCGAAGCUUUCAAUAUCUUGUUCAGUGUAGAUUUCCUAAAACAAAUAAUGUUCACAUAAAAACUUAAUUAACAGGUGCUUGUCAAGAGGGUGAAUAAAAUUACCUCGGGUAAUACAACUUGCAGCAGGCUCUGUAUAUCAUGAACUUCUUUCCAUUUUUCCUGCAAUAUUUUUUGACGAAGUAAGCUCAAAGGAAUAUCAUCGUAUUCAUCCUCGCUUUCAUUUGCUUCUGUAGUAUUAAGCAUUCUAAUAAAGGCUUCCAACAUUUUACUAUUACAUUUGCCUGCAGCUGAUUCCAAGCAAGCAUUAAAAAUGAUACAGCAUCCUUUAAAGUUAAAUGUUUUACAAAUUGUGUGAUGUCAUCCUUUCCUACAGUUAAGCGAAUCACAUUUUGAUCCAUAGGCUGAAUUAAAGGCGUUACAUUUGGAGGCAUAUAAAUCACGAAUAUGGAUCCAUCAGCAGUUUUAAGUUCAUCUUCUGGAGGAUGGCAAGGGGGGUAACUGGACAAUUUUUGUUUCGUUGAGCUAUAAACCACUUGUAUAACAUCUUCUCCAUGCGGGGAUACUCGACUUUUCUAAGAGUCUUCCGCUUAGAUGCUCCGACUGCCUGGUGGGAUAUAAUACUACGAGCAUUUUUUUUUAUU